GAUGAAGAACGUAGUGAAAUGCGAUAAGUAAUGUGAAUUGCAGAAUUCAGUGAAUCAUCGAAUCUUUGAACGCACCUUGCGCCCUUUGGUCAUUCCGAAGGGCAUGCCUGUUUGAGUAUCAUGAACACCUCAACUCUCAUGGCUCGCCAUGAUGAGCUUGGACUUUGGGGGUCUUGCUGGCCUGUGGUCGGCUCCUCUCAAAUGGAUCAGCUUGCCAGUGUUUGGUGGCAUCACAGGUGUGAUAACUAUCUGCGCUUGUGGUUUUCCAUCAGAUAACCUUCAGUGAUGGAGGUUCGCUGGAGCUCAUAAACGUCUCCCCUAAGCGGGGACAGCCCUUUGAAUGUUUGAUCUCAAAUCAGGUAGGACUACCCGCUGAACUUAAGCAUAUCAAUAAGCGGAGGA
rnacentral:misc_RNA from 1 species